CCACGGGAGGCAGCAGUGAGGAAUAUUGGUCAAUGGGCGAGAGCCUGAACCAGCCAAGUCGCGUGAGGGAAGACGGUCCUAUGGAUUGUAAACCUCUUUUGCCGGGGAGCAAAAAGCGGUACGUGUACCGCAUCGAGAGUACUCGGAGAAAAAGCAUCGGCUAACUCCGUGCCAGCAGCCGCGGUAAUACGGAGGAUGCGAGCGUGAUCCGGAUUUAUUGGGUUAAAGGGGGGCUCAGGCGGCGUGUUAAGUCAGCGGGAAAAGUUCGGGGGUGAACCCCGACAAGCCGUUGAAACUGGCUUGCUAGAGUGGGCGAGAAGUAUGCGGAAUGCGUGGUGUAGCGGUGAAAUGCAUAGAUAUCACGCAGAACUCCGAUUGCGAAGGCAGCAUACCGGCGCCCAACUGACGCUCAGGCACGAAAGCGUGGGUAUCGAACAGGAUUAGAUACCCGUGUAGUC
rnacentral:rRNA from 1 species